GCCCGGGUGGCGCAACUGGUAGACGCGCCAGGUCGAGAUCCUGGUGGUUGUGGGUUCGAGUCCCACCCCGGGCACCA
rnacentral:tRNA from 1 species